GCUAUUUUGGCAGAUAAAUGCAAUAAAUUUAGAAUUUAUUAAUGUAAUUUUUUUUUACAAAUAGUA
rnacentral:tRNA from 1 species